rnacentral:rRNA from 1 species
GACGAACCGAGCGAACGUUGUUCGGAAUCACUGGGCUUAAAGGGCGCGUAGGCCGGGCUGUCAAGUCUGGGGUGAAAUCCCACGGCUCAACCGUGGAACUGCCUUAGAUACUGACGGCCUCGAGGGAGGUAGGGGCAUGCGGAACUGAUGGUGGAGCGGUGAAAUGCGUUGAUAUCAUCAGGAACUCCGGUGGCGAAGGCGGCGUGCUGGACCUUUUCUGACGCUGAGGCGCGAAAGCCAGGGGAGCAAACGGG